rnacentral:rRNA from 1 species
UAAUACGUAGGUGACAAGCGUUGUCCGGAUUUACUGGGCGUAAAGAGCGCGCAGGCGGUCGUUCAAGUCGAGUGUGAAAGCCCCCGGCUCAACUGGGGAGGGUCACUCGAUACUGAUCGACUCGAAGGCAGGAGAGGGUAGUGGAAUUCCCGGUGUAGUGGUGAAAUGCGUAGAUAUCGGGAGGAACACCAGUGGCGAAGGCGACUACCUGGCCUGUUCUUGACGCUGAGGCGCGAAAGCUAGGGGAGCAAACGGGAUUAGAUACCCCGGUAGUCCUAGCCGUAAACGAUGGACACUAGGUGUUGGUGGUAUCAACCCCGCCAGUGCCGAAGCUAACGCAUUAAGUGUCCCGCCUGGGGAGUACGGCCGCAAGGCUA